UUUCCGUAGGUGAACCUGCGGAAGGAUCAUUAUUGUAUAACCGAGGUGCGAGGGCUGUCGCUGACCCGAAAGGUCGUGCACGCCCGAGUGCCCUCACACACAUCCAUCUCACCCCUAUGUGCACCUCCGCGUGGGUCGCCCUUUGGCUUGUUCGGAGGGGGGCUUACGUUUUCACACAAACUUUGUAUGCAGUGUAGAAUGUAUUUUUUGUUUUUGCGAUCACGCAAUCAAUACAACUUUCAACAACGGAUCUCUUGGCUCUC
rnacentral:misc_RNA from 1 species